GACGAACGCUGGCGGCGUGCUUAACACAUGCAAGUCGAACGGAAAGGCCCUGCUUUUGUGGGGUGCUCGAGUGGCGAACGGGUGAGUAACACGUGAGUAACCUGCCCUUGACUUUGGGAUAACUUCAGGAAACUGGGGCUAAUACCGGAUAGGAGCUCCUGCUGCAUGGUGGGGUUGGAAAGUUUCGGCGGUUGGGGAUGGACUCGCGGCUUAUCAGCUUGUUGGUGGGGUAGUGGCUUACCAAGGCUUUGACGGGUAGCCGGCCUGAGAGGGUGACCGGCCACAUUGGGACUGAGAUACGGCCCAGACUCCUACGGGAGGCAGCAGUGGGGAAUAUUGCACAAUAGGCGGAAGCCUGAUGCAGCAACGCCGCGUGCGGGAUGACGGCCUUCGGGUUGUAAACCGCUUUCGCCUGUGACGAAGCGUGAGUGACGGUAAUGGGUAAAGAAGCACCGGCUAACUACGUG
rnacentral:rRNA from 1 species